UCCCCCCCCAGACGUGCUGCGCUCGGCGCUGGGGGCGGGGCUCUGGGGGCUGGGCCUGGGCGUGUGGGUGGGGCUCUUCCAGAGCCGCCGCGGCCAAUGGGGAGCGCUGGGCGACGCCCUCAGCUUCACCCAGCCAAUGGGAGAGCCCUGAGCCCCGGCGGCGGCCAAUGGCGGCGCAGCAAGGAGCGAUGACGUCACCCCCAGCCCACAGCAGCCCCGCCCCUUUUCCCAAAUAAAGGCAUUGACCACUCCCACACCCAAA